rnacentral:rRNA from 1 species
CCUACGGGAGGCAGCAGUGGGGGAUAUUGCACAAUGGGGGGAACCCUGAUGCAGCGACGCCGCGUGGGUGAAGGAGCGUUUCGGCGCGUAACGCCCUAUCGGCAGGGAAGAAAAUGACAGUACCUGACCAAGAAGCCCCGGCUAACUACGUGCCAGCAGCCGCGGGAAUACGUAGGGGGCAAGCGUUAGCAGGAUUUACUGGGUGUAAGGGGAGCGUAGACGGUUAUGUAAGUCUGGAGGGAAAGCCCGGGGCCCAACCCCGGGACUGCUUUGGAAACUGUGUAACUGGAGUACAGGAGGGGCAGGCGGAAUUCCUGGUGUAGCGGUGAAAUGCGUAGAUAUCAGGAGGAACACCGGCGGCGAAGGCGGCCUGCUGGACUGAAACUGACGUUGAGGCUCGAAAGCGUGGGGAGCAAACAGGAUUAGAUACCCCAGUAGUC